rnacentral:rRNA from 1 species
CCCGGUGACAGGUGCUGGCAUGGCUGUCGUCAGCUCGUGUCGUGAGAUGUUGGGUUAAGUCCCGCAACGAGCGCAACCCUCGCCUUUAGUUGCCAGCAUUCAGUUGGGCACUCUAGAGGGACUGCCGGUGUCAAACCGGAGGAAGUGGGGAUGACGUCAAGUCCUCAUGGCCUUUAUGUCUAGGGCUACACACGUACUACAAUGGCCGGUACAAAGGGCAGCCACUCAGCGAUGAGGCGCUAAUCCCAUAAAGCCGGUCUCAGUCCGGAUCGCAGUCUGCAACUCGACUCCAUGAAGUUGGAAUCGCUAGUAAUCGCGGAUCAGUACGCCGCGGUGAAUACGUUCCCGGGCCUU